rnacentral:tRNA from 1 species
UGGGGAGUGGCGCAGUUGGUAGCGCAGCAGACUGUUAAUCUGUUGGUCGUCGGUUCGAGUCCGACCUUCCCAGCCA